rnacentral:lncRNA from 1 species
AGGGAACAGUGUCUGGAAUUCGGGGGCAUUUAGAGCUUUUUAUUAACUUCCUGGGUUCUGGGAGGGUUAGGUUGCAUUUUCAUCCUUUCAUUCCCCACUUCUUCUCUUGUUAAUAGUUCUAAUCUUAGAACUGGGAAGGCUAAAGGUCAGUUUCUCCUUGGCUCGGAAGGCCUUGGUACUGCUGUCUAAGUACCAUGAUCUGAACUGCACUCACUCGUUCUCUGACAAAGGCAACAAACUGAUUAAUUAAGCAAGGCCCAACUGUUCAGUGGGGACUGAUCCAGAGGUUGUAUUGAAAUCAGAGGGAUUAGGAGAUGGCCUCUGUUCUUGGAUUGGAGGUCCUUGUUCGGUUAACACCUUAUUCGGUCCUACAGCAACCGGAGGUUCCAUCUGAGUUUCUAUUCUGAGGUGAAUAGUUAGAAUAGAUCUUUCUUCUCCAGAGCCUCUAUAGAAAACUAUUCCCCAAGACAUACCAUUUAUCCACUUUCAAAUAUUUUGUUGUUCUCCUUUUUCAGUGAAACUUAUUUUCAAGUAAUCUAGGUCUGACGGAGAGCAACUUAUUUGUUUAUAUUUUCCCUCUCUCUGCCAAUCUAAAUAAUUAAGUUGAUCAGAACUGGUAUAAUUGUUGACAAAAGAGAAACUUGCCCUAUCUUGCCGAGAGGUUGGCCAUUUUUAAUACCUACCAUUAGAGGUUACACAGCUCCAUUCCUUGCAAAAGAAAUCCCUGGGAUUUCCACAAUAUUUUUCAUUGUUUGGGGGUCCUGGACAAACAUAAAACCCGUAAGCAUGGAGUAUAUCGGGGGGUGUGGACAUGGUGUUAAGACCAGGGACUACCAAUCGAAGGCAGACAUGUAGCUCAGGCCACCAGGUCCCUAAGGGAGCUUCCCCUUUGAGUGCUGUUAAUAGUAAUACCUGUACUGGAAUCAGUAAGUAGCCAGGUGAGAGAUAAGGGUUUAUGGGAGGUCGGGCUGUCCACAAGGCAUUUACUAUUAGCUUGAGGGGUUAUUGAUAGGGUAAGGAACCAAGCGAUGGAGGCGAAGUUUAAGGGGGUUCUCAGUCUUUUUAGCUCUCCACUCCAAGUCAGGAGGUGGCGCCAGCUUGACGUGGGACGCAUGAAUCCAGGUGGGGAUUCUUUCGACUUUUACAGCUGUUGGUGUGGUCAGAAGUACGAGAUAAGG